UACAUUGCUCUGUUAUCAAACCACUGUUAUUUUAGCUGCUUCUAAGUAAGUAUAUACAAAAUUAACAGGUACCUACAUAUUAUAAUAUAAUAAUAUGAAAAUUUGAAGUUUCACAACUGUAUGUUAAUAGGUAUAUACACAUCUAGACAUUCACCAAAUCCUUUCAUAAAAAAAUGUGAACAUAAGUUAACUGCGUUGCACAAUAAUAUCUCUAAUUAUUCAAUUUAUUUAUGUGUUUAAUGUUCAU